CUGCUAAUGACGAGAAAAUCAUCCUUGCUCUGCGAGCUGUGUGUGGAAUUCGAUGAGGACUCAUUGUCAUCGGGACAUGUAGUCCAAUUCGGAGAUAACGAUGCAGCGGUGAACAGCGUUGGCCUCUGAAGCAG
rfam:Ancylostoma ceylanicum strain HY135 Acey_s0021_scaf, whole genome shotgun sequence.